GGGGAAUUUUCCGCAAUGGGCGAAAGCCUGACGGAGCAAUACCGCGUGAGGGAGGAAGGCUCUUGGGUUGUAAACCUCUUUUCUCAGGGAAGAAGAGAUGACGGUACCUGAGGAAGAAGCAUCGGCUAACUCCGUGCCAGCAGCCGCGGUAAUACGGAGGAUGCAAGCGUUAUCCGGAAUGAUUGGGCGUAAAGCGUCCGUAGGUGGUGAUGCAAGUCUAUUGUCAAAGCGUGCGGCUCAACCGCAUAAAGGCAGUGGAAACUGUGUAACUAGAGUGCAUUCGGGGCAGGGGGAAUUCCUGGUGUAGCGGUGAAAUGCGUAGAGAUCAGGAAGAACACCGGUGGCGAAAGCGCCCUGCUAGGCUGCAACUGACACGAGAGAAGACAGUACUCCUGAAUCUGU
rnacentral:rRNA from 1 species